UACGUAGGGGGCUAGCGUUGUCCGGAUUUAUUGGGCGUAAAGAGCGUGUAGGCGGCCAGGUAGGUCUGCUGUGAAAACUCGAGGCUCAACCUCGAGACGUCGGCGGAAACCAUCUGGCUAGAGUCCGGAAGAGGAGAGUGGAAAUUCCUGGUGUAGCGGUGAAAUGCGCAGAUAUCAGGAAGAACACCCGUGGCGAAAGCGGCUCUCUGGAACGGUACUGACGCUGAGACGCGAAAGCGUGGGGAGCGAACAGG
rnacentral:rRNA from 1 species